UACGUAGGGGGCAAGCGUUGUCCGGAAUCAUUGGGCGUAAAGCGCGCGUAGGCGGCCCGAUAAGUCCGCUGUGAAAGUCCAAGGGCUCAACCCUGGAAAGCCGGUGGAUACUGUCGGGCUAGAGUCCGGAAGAGGCGAGUGGAAUUCCUGGUGUAGCGGUGGAAUGCGCAGAUAUCAGGAGGAACACCAGUGGCGAAGGCGGCUCACUGGCCCGGUACUGACGCUGAGAUACGAAAGCGUGGGGAGCAAACAGG
rnacentral:rRNA from 1 species